GGGUUGUGAGGUUAAGCGACUAAGCGUACACGGUGGAUGCCCUGGCAGUCAGAGGCGAUGAAGGACGUGCUAAUCUGCGAUAAGCGCCGGUAAGGUGAUAUGAACCGUUAUAACCGGCGAUUUCCGAAUGGGGAAACCCAGUGUGACUCGUCACACUAUCAUUAACUGAAUCCAUAGGUUAAUGAGGCGAACCGGGGGAACUGAAACAUCUAAGUACCCCGAGGAAAAGAAAUCAACCGAGAUUCCCCCAGUAGCGGCGAGCGAACGGGGAGGAGCCCAGAGCCUGAAUCAGCAUGUGUGUUAGUGGAAGCGUCUGGAAAGGCGCGCGAUACAGGGUGACAGCCCCGUACACAAAAGCGCAUGUGCUGUGAGCUCGAUGAGUAGGGCGGGACACGUGGUAUCCUGUCUGAAUAUGGGGGGACCAUCCUCCAAGGCUAAAUACUCCUGACUGACCGAUAGUGAACCAGUACCGUGAGGGAAAGGCGAAAAGAACCCCGGCGAGGGGAGUGAAAAAGAACCUGAAACCGUGUACGUACAAGCAGUGGGAGCACCUUUUGGGGUGUGACUGCGUACCUUUUGUAUAAUGGGUCAGCGACUUAUAUUCUGUAGCAAGGUUAACCGUAUAGGGGAGCCG
rnacentral:rRNA from 1 species